GCUCCUUUGAAGCUCUGCUGUUAGAGUAUGAGGCUCUUAAUCUCAAGGUCAUGGGUCUGAGCCCCAUGUUGGGCA